AGGGGUGAGAAAUGUUAUUAAUUAUGGUAUGCCUGCAUACUUCAAGACAUAUAUUCAUUGAGUUGGCCGGACUGCAAGAGCAGGCAAGACGGGGUGUUGCUUUACUUUGUUGCGUAAAGUUGAGCUAAAGCGUUUCAACAAGAUGUUACAAAAAGCUGACAAUAACUCGUGUACCGAUCACUCUCUCCUGUCCAGUUCAAUUGAGUCACUUCAGCCAAUUUAUAUAUCUGCGCUGGAAAAGCUGAAAGAGACGGUUGAAUUCUUUGAAGUUCUGAUAGUUUAAAGAUACCAAUGUAAUCCGAAAGAAUUUUGAUCUUGACUCUUGAGAGUGGCCAUUAAAUUAAAAUAUGCCAGAAGUGGAUCCUCAUUUCUUUUAAGCAUUGAGGUGGCAGCAUUUUACUUGAGAAGAUUAUUUUUAGUUCUUUAGAGGCAGAAUAGUUGCCAAUUUGUAUCAUUU